UUAAGUUCAGCGGGUACUCCUACCUGAUCCGAGGUCAACUGCGUUGAGUUGGGGCGUUUCCAGGCGUGACCGCCUCCGCGCUUCCGGUGCGAGAUUGUGCUACUGCGCAGGGGAGGACGCGGCGGGGUCGCCACUGCAUUUCGGGGGCGGCCUGGGCCGUUCCCCCAGCACCGGGCCCUCAGAGGGGCCCGAGGGUGGUA
rnacentral:misc_RNA from 1 species